rnacentral:rRNA from 1 species
AUUGAACGCUGGCGGAAUGCUUUACACAUGCAAGUCGAACGGUAGAGGGGGCAACCCCUCGAGAGUGGCGAACGGGUGAGUAAUAUAUCGGAACGUGCCCAGUCGUGGGGGAUAACGUAGCGAAAGUUACGCUAAUACCGCAUACGAUCUAUGGAUGAAAGUGGGGGAUCGCAAGACCUCAUGCACCUGGAGCGGCCGAUAUCAGAUUAGGUAGUUGGUGGGGUAAAGGCCCACCAAGCCAACGAUCUGUAGCUGGUCUGAGAGGACGACCAGCCACACUGGAACUGGGACACGGUCCAGACUCCUACGGGAGGCAGCAGUGGGGAAUUUUGGAAAAUGGGCGAAAGCCUGAUCCAGCCAUUCCGCGUGCAGGAUGAAGGCCCUCGGGUUGUAAACUGCUUUUGUACAGAACGAAAAGGUUUCUACUAAUACUAGGAGCUCAUGACGGUACUGUAAGAAUAAGCACCGGCUAACUACGUGCCAGCAGCCGCCGUAA